rnacentral:rRNA from 1 species
CCCGGUGGCAAUAGCGGAGGGGAAACACCCGUUCCCAUUCCGAACACGGAAGUUAAGCCCUCCAGCGCCGAUGGUACUGCGUGGGAGACUGCGUGGGAGAGUAGGGCGUCGCCGGGA